UGGUUGGACGAGGUAAUAACUGUCUUUAUUUAAUUUAUGGUAGAAUUUAACUUUUGAGUUAAAAGGCUCAAAUUUAAUUGAUAGACGAGAAGACCCUAUAGAUCUUUAUUUAUAAGUUUAUAAGUUGUAUUUGGAUUGAUUUCACAGUUUAUGAUUUUAUGAAUUUUAUUGGGGUAAUAUAAAGAUUAAAUGAAUUCUUUGAAUAUUUAAACAAUAAUGAUUGAUAAAUUGAUCCAUUAGUAUUGAUUGUAAGAUUAAGUUAC
rnacentral:rRNA from 1 species